rnacentral:piRNA from 1 species
UUUGGUGAUGAUUAUGUGUUUGCUGACA